GCGAUUUACAGCCUUUGUAAACAUUUGCGUGUUUCAUUUUCCAUGUGGGUCCUAUGGCAAACGUCCAAACACGAUGGCAGGCUUUGUUUUUGUUGUUAUUUUGUUUUUUGGCCUCGCAGGCCAAACCAAAACAAAUUGUUCUUUCGUGUUGGGCCUUUCGUGUUUCGUGUUGGGCCUUUGUAAUCAACAAUAUUUUUUCGCUCGUUUUUGUAAAUUUUACAGUUAAUGUCGCGUUUUUCAUACAUUGUCUGUUAUACAUUGAGUUUUCCUGCAUUUCAAAAGGAAAAUGCUGGAUACUUGGAUGGCUAAAAAGCCCACAAACUCAGACGAUUUUGACCGGAAGGUGCUCCAGACAUGCUCGGAACUAGGGUGAGGACAACACGGUGUUGCUAACACCCAGAGUGGCCUUCUUAGAGGAAACAGCUUAAGGCAUCUGUGGAAGGAAUAUCGUCCGAUUUCGAUGGAGGCGUAGGAACCAAGCUACCAACAUAAAUGCUGCCAAAUUGCAUGGCCAUCUCCGCCGAAUCUUUAUGUUGCCUACGGGUCGAUGGCACCGACGACUUGACCGGCCACCACCCGAGAGGGAGGGGGUUCUUUCUGUGCGAAAGUUCUUAUCAACGGGUACAUUCAUCGGAACGAGAUAGCGACACGGAAUAGCAAACAGGAGAAAUGGACUAACAGUGUCUUCAAGUGAUGGUUUUAUCCGUUUUAUCUAAUAAAUUUAUGUAAAUUUUA